rnacentral:rRNA from 1 species
AGGACGAACGCUGGCGGCGUGCCUCAUACAUGCAAGUGGAGCGACGAACCAGGAUUUAUCCUGGGGCAAAGCCGCGAACGGGUGAGUAACACGUGGGUUACCUGCCCCGAUGAUUGGGACAACCCGAGGAAACUCGGGCUAAUACCAAAUGUGUUCUUGGUCGUGAUGACCAAGAAGAAAGGAAGCCUCGGCCUCCGCAUCGGGAUGGGCCCGCGGCCCAUUAGCUAGUUGGUGGGGUAAUGGCCUACCAAGGCGACGAUGGGUAGCUGGUCUGAGAGGACGAUCAGCCACACUGGGGACUGAGACACGGCCCAGACUCCUACGGGAGGCAGCAGUAGGGAAUCUUGCGCAAUGGGCGAAAGCCUGACGCAGCAACGCCGCGUGAGGGAUGACGGCCUUCGGGUUGUAAACCUCUUUCAAGCAGGGACGAUUGUGACGGUACCUGCAGAAGAGCUCCGGCCAACUACGUGCCAGCAGCCGC